CCCGAUGCUAUUCUAGAGAUAGAAAGUUACUUCGGUACAUCGGUGACAGGUGGUGCAUGGUUGUCGUCAGCUCGUGUCGUGAGAUGUUGGGUUAAAGUCCCCGCAAACGAGCGCAACCCCUAUUGUUAGUUGCCAUCAUUCAGUUGGGCACUCUAGCGAGACUGCCGGUAAUAAACCGGAGGAAGGUGGGGAUGACGUCAAAUCAUCAUGCCCCCUUAUGACCUGGGCUACACACGUGCUACAAUGGUUGGUACAACGAGUUGCGAGUCGGUGACGGCGAGCUAAUCUCUUAAAGCCAAUCUCAGUUCGGAUUGUAGGCUGCAACUCGCCUACAUGAAGUCGGAAUCGCUAGUAAUCGCGGAUCAGCACGCCGCGGUGAAUACGUUCCCGGGCCUU
rnacentral:rRNA from 1 species